rnacentral:rRNA from 1 species
UACGUAGGGGGCUAGCGUUGUCCGGAAUCAUUGGGCGUAAAGCGCGUGUAGGCGGUCCGGUAAGUCCGCUGUGAAAGUCGGGGGCUCAACCCUCGAAAGCCGGUGGAAACUGUCGGGCUAGAGUACGGAAGAGGCGAGUGGAAUUCCUGGUGUAGCGGUGAAAUGCGCAGAUAUCAGGAGGAACACCAAUUGCGAAGGCAGCUCGCUGGGACGUUACUGACGCAGAGACGCGAAAGCGUGGGGAGCAAACAGG